UUCCAUUUGAAGAUCAAAUAGAAGUUAUCUACUGAAGCUGACAAACAGGGGCAGAAUAAUCUGUUUGCAUUUUUGGGAAAUGGAUAGCUCUGGUUUUGUUUCAAGAAAUACAGAUGCAAAAGCAAGACCUGGAUAAAUGAGACAAGUAUUGUUCCUUCAAGCAGAACGUCCUGACUUCAAGACAGAAUACACGCCAUCAUCCCUUCGGCAAGCAGGAGGACGGGGUUCCCACGUUAGCAGCAGCAGCAGUUGGGAUUCCUAGAAAGACGCAGUGCCUUCGGGUGCCCAACCCAUCCCCGCGCCCUGCUGGGAUGCACGGCCAUUGCGGUGUGCAGGGAGAGUGAUCCCAAAACACAUCCAGCGCCACACCAACCUGCGAAUGGCGGUGGCACAUCUUCAAACCUCCCCGAAACCCAAGGCGGAAUUUCACCCUUUCCCACUUGUAUAGCUGCAAACAAACGCCGUGCUUGGCCUGAACGCGUCAGCGCGUGGGUUGUAGGGCCACACAGAGCCCCCGUUUCGUUGUGCUGCAGCAGCAGCCUGCUGCACCCCACAGCAUAUCUGCAUUUUCCUAUGGCAGGAAGGUGCAGCAGUGGGGCCACUGUAGCAAAAUGCCUCCACACCCUGCUCCAUCCACAGCCAAAUACGAAACACCAAUCCAAGAGUUUUCUUCAAGCUAUAAAAAUAAAGCAAAGUUGUUCCCAGGGAACAGAGAAAAAGUCAAUUCCACAGUCCCUGCACAGUUAUAAGCGCUCUCCAUAAGACUGAAUGCUUUUUUCUGCCUCGGAACAGCCCUCUCUGAUCCAGCAGAGCAAAGUUUGUUGAUAUUCGGGGUUGCAAACCCAUGUGUUUACUCAGGCUUUUGUCUGUCAGCAGAGUUUGAAGAGGUCGCUUUGAGAGAUCAAUAUUUUUUCCUGGGGGUUUCUUCAGAGCUACCACAAUUUGUUAUUGCGUCUGUUUAGAGGCUUUAAUUUGUGGUUUUCAAGAUUGCAUAACUGAGCAGAG
rnacentral:lncRNA from 1 species